rnacentral:rRNA from 1 species
GGUACCUGAAGAAAAAGCAUCGGCUAACUCCGUGCCAGCAGCCGCGGUAAUACGGAGGAUGCAAGCGUUAUCCGGAAUCAUUGGGCGUAAAGGGUCCGCAGGUGGCGAAUAAAGUCUGCUGUUAAAGACCGGGGCUUAACUCCGGAAAGGCAGUGGAAACUGAUUAGCUAGAGUAAGGUAGGGGUAGAGGGAAUUCCCAGUGUAGCGGUGAAAUGCGUAGAUAUUGGGAAGAACACCGGUGGCGAAAGCGCUCUACUAGGCCGAAACUGACACUGAGGGACGAAAGCUAGGGUAGCGAAAGGGAUUAGAUACCCCUGUAGUCUUAGCGGUAAACGAUGGGUACUAGGUGUAGCUUGUAUCGACCCGAGCUGUGCCGAAGCUAACGCGAUAAGUAUCCCGCCUGGGGAGUACGCACGCAAGUGUGAAACUCAAAGGAAUUGACGGGGGCCCGCACAAGCGGUGGAGUAUGUGGUUUAAUUCGAUGCAACGCGAAGAACCUUACCAGGGCUUGACAUGUCGCGAAUCUAGCGGAGACGUUAGAGUGCCUUAGGGAAUGCGAACACAGGUGGUGCAUGGCUGUCGUCAGCUCGUGUCGUGAGAUGUUGGGUUAAGUCCCGCAACGAGCGCAACCCUCGUCCUUAGUUGCCAAUAUUAAGUUAGGCACUCUAGGGAGACUGCCGGGGACAACUCGGAGGAAGGUGGGGAUGACGUCAAGUCAGCAUGCCCCUUACGUCCUGGGCUACACACGUACUACAAUGGUUGGGACAAAGGGCAGCAAGCUCGCGAGAGUAAGCGAAUCUCAUCAAACCCAGCCACAGUUCAGAUUGCAGGCUGCAACUCGCCUGCAUGAAGUAGGAAUCGCUAGUAAUCGCAGGUCAGCAUACUGCGGUGAAUUCGUUCCCGGGCCUUGUACACACCGCCCGUCACACCAUGGAAGCUGGCUACGCCCGAAGUCGUUACCCUAACCCGGUUUUGGGAGGGGGAUGCCGAAGGUAGAGCUAGUGACUGGGGUGAAGUCGUAACAAGGUAGCCGUACCGGAAGGUGUGGCUGGAUCACCUCCUUU